rnacentral:rRNA from 1 species
UACGGAAGGCAGCAGUGGGGAAUAUUGCACAAUGGGCGAAAGCCUGAUGCAGCUAUGCCGCGUGUAUGAAGAAGGCCUUAGGGUUGUAAAGUACUUUCAUCGGGGAGGAAAAAACAAAACUAAUAAUUUUAUUUCUUGACGUUACCCGAAAAAGAAGCACCGGCUAACUCCGUGCCAGCAGCCGCGGUAAUACGGAGGGUGCUAGCGUUAAUCAGAAUUACUGGGCGUAAAGAGCACGUAGGUGGUUUUUUUAAGUUCAGAUGUGAAAUCCCUGGGCUUAACCUAGGAACUGCAUUUUGAAACUGAAAUACUAGAGUAUCGUAGAGGGAGGUAGAAUUCUAGGUGUAGCGGUGAAAUGCGUAGAAUAUCUGGAGGAAUACCUGUGGCGAAAGCGGCCUCCUAAACGAAAUACUGACACUGAGGUGCGAAAGCGUGGGGAGCAAACAGGGAUUAGAUACC